rnacentral:rRNA from 1 species
UACGUAGGUGCCGAGCGUUGUCCGGAUUUACUGGGCGUAAAGGGAGCGUAGGCGGACUUUUAAGUGAGAUGUGAAAUACCUGGGCUUAACUUGGGUGCUGCAUUUCAAACUGGAAGUCUAGAGUGCAGGAGAGGAGAAUGGAAUUCCUAGUGUAGCGGUGAAAUGCGUAGAGAUUAGGAAGAACACCAGUGGCGAAGGCGAUUCUCUGGACUGUAACUGACGCUGAGGCUCGAAAGCGUGGGGAGCAAACAGGAUUAGAUA